rnacentral:ribozyme from 1 species
UCUCUCUUCUUCUUCUACUUCUACUUCUUCUUCUGCCCCUUUGUUGCCCAACCCCCGUCUUCCCCCAGACACGAUACCAACUGAUCGAGGUCAUCGAGAAAGAAAUCCUCAAAAUCGACCGCCAGACAAACCGUCUGCCACUCCUCUCCAUCGAGCUCUCUCUCCACAAUACAACACCGCCCCUGCUAAUCCCCCACGUCCUAUUAACGCUCCUGGCAAGAACUCCUCAACUAAACCUCCUCUUCAACCUGUUCUCCCUAUUUCUCCUUCACGUUCUGCUUCAUCAUCAUCAUCAUCAUCUCCUUCUAUUCUUUCGUAUUU